rnacentral:rRNA from 1 species
AGCGAACGCUGGCGGCAGGCUUAACACAUGCAAGUCGAGCGGGCACUUUCGGGUGUCAGCGGCGGACGGGUGAGUAACGCGUGGGAACGUGCCCUCUGGUUCGGAAUAACUCAGGGAAGCUUGAGCUAAUACCGGAUACGCCCUUUUGGGGAAAGGCUUGCUGCCGGAGGAUCGGCCCGCGUCUGAUUAGCUAGUUGGUGAGGUAACGGCUCACCAAGGCGACGAUCAGUAGCUGGUCUGAGAGGAUGAUCAGCCACACUGGGACUGAGACACGGCCCAGACUCCUACGGGAGGCAGCAGUGGGGAAUAUUGGACAAGGGGCGCAAGCCUGAUCCAGCCAUGCCGCGUGAGUGAUGAAGGCCUUAGGGUUGUAAAGCUCUUUUAUCCGGGACGAUAAUGACGGUACCGGAGGAAUAAGCCCCGGCUAACUUCGUG